UCCCGCCUGGCUAAGUGAAUGAGUGAAUGAUUAAGUGACCUGUCACUGAGUUAAAUCCAAGAAAUCCUGCUGCUAUGAGUGACAUGUUGACAGCCUGGUAAAUGAAAUCCAGCAUUUUACUGCCAGCAAGCCACUCAGGCAAUGCUUGGCCUUUUCUCUGGAAUUUGCAUGGAGAGCCUGGAAUAUCACACACUUGGUAAAUGCACAUUUCAGAAGAGGUGAAUGGACAGACAGCUAACACAAUGCAGGUUCAGCUGAACAUCCAUGGGAGCAAUGUAAUUGGAGAAGAUAAUGGAAACUGAACCCGCCUCUCCUCAGCAUAUUGCCAGAAGGCUGUGCUAUACCUGCACUUUUCAGCAAGACAGUGGAUGCUACAGCAGAAGUACAUGGCCCAAAACAGGACACUGUUCCAGGGUCAGCGGAUGGCAGCUGCACGGAUGCGUGAGCGUUUUUUAGAUAUCUGUGCACUUUUGUUGUUGACCCUGCUCUGACAGAUGUAUUUUUAUUUCAUAAAUUCUGCACUCAGCUUGCAGUCUCCAAUAUCAGUGAAAUUCACCCAGUUGCUUCUCGUUUCUUGUCUCUCUCCCAGUGGGCUCUGGCUCCCGGUCUCUCUGUCGCUCCGUAUCCCUGUCCUGUACCACUACACUUUCUCCUUUCCUUUUUUCAGGCAACUGUAUGAUUGUAGUCUGUCUUUGCAUGUGAUUGGCCGGUGCACUCCAAAUAAACUCCUGUCCAUGUCUGCAUAGCAGAGCUGAACA